rnacentral:tRNA from 1 species
GUGGAUGUAGCCAAGUGGACCAAGGUAGUAGAUUGUGAAUCCACCAUGUGCGGGUUCUAUCCCCAUCAUUUGCC